rnacentral:rRNA from 1 species
AUUGAACGCUGGCGGCAUGCUUUACACAUGCAAGUCGAACGGUAACAGGCCUUCGGGUGCUGACGAGUGGCGAACGGGUGAGUAAUGCAUCGGAACGUACCCAGAGGUGGGGGAUAACGCAGCGAAAGCUGUGCUAAUACCGCAUGUGAUCAGAGGAUGAAAGCGGGGGACCGAGCAGCAAUGUUUGGCCUCGCGCCUUUGGAGCGGCCGAUGUCGGAUUAGCUAGUUGGUGGGGUAAAGGCCUACCAAGGCGACGAUCCGUAGCUGGUCUGAGAGGACGACCAGCCACACUGGGACUGAGACACGGCCCAGACUCCUACGGGAGGCAGCAGUGGGGAAUUUUGGACAAUGGGCGCAAGCCUGAUCCAGCAAUGCCGCGUGCGGGAAGAAGGCCUUCGGGUUGUAAACCGCUUUUGGCAGGAACGAAACGGUGUCCGCUAAUACCGGGCGCUAAUGACGGUACCUGCAGAAUAAGCACCGGCUAACUACGUG